ACGGUCCAGACUCCUACGGGAGGCAGCAGUGGGGAAUAUUGCACAAUGGGCGCAAGCCUGAUGCAGCCAUGCCGCGUGUAUGAAGAAGGCCUUCGGGUUGUAAAGUACUUUCAGCGAGGAGGAAGGCGUUAAGGUUAAUAACCUUGGCGAUUGACGUUACUCGCAGAAGAAGCACCGGCUAACUCCGUGCCAGCAGCCGCGGUAAUACGGAGGGUGCAAGCGUUAAUCGGAAUUACUGGGCGUAAAGCGCACGCAGGCGGUCUGUCAAGUCGGAU
rnacentral:rRNA from 1 species